rnacentral:rRNA from 1 species
GAUGAACGCUGGCGGCGUGCCUAAUACAUGCAAGUCGAGCGAACAGACGAGGCGCUUGCUCCUCUCACGUUAGCGGCGGACGUGUGAGUAACACGUGGAUAACCUACCUAUCAGACUGGGAUCACUUCGGGAAACCGGAGCUAAUCCCGGAUAAUCUCUUGCACCGCAUGGUUCAAUAGUGAAAUACGGUUUUUCUGUCACUACUCGAUGGUUCGGCGCCGCAUUAGCUAGUUGGUAGGGUAACGGCUUACCAAGGCGACGAGGCGUAGCCGACGUGAGAGGGUGAUCGGCCGCACUGGAAGGGGGACACGGUCCAGACUACUAAGGGAGGCAGCAGUAGGGAAUGUGACGCAGUGGGCGGAAGCCUGACGGAGCAACGCCGCGUGAGUGAUGAAGGUCUUCGGAGAGGAAAGCUCUGUUAUGAGGGAAGAACAAAUGUGGAAGGAACUAUGCACGUCGUGACGGUAAUUAGUAAGAAAGCAACGGCUAACUACGUG